rnacentral:tRNA from 1 species
UCUUUGCUUAGUUUUUAAAGCGCUCGUCUUGCAUUGGAGAGUCCUGGGUUCGAAUCCCAGCCGAGCA